GUCCACGCCCUAAACGAUGUCUACUAGUUGUCGGGUCUUAAUUGACUUGGUAACGCAGCUAACGCGUGAAGUAGACCGCCUGGGGAGUACGGUCGCAAGAUUAAAACUCAAAGGAAUUGACGGGGACCCGCACAAGCGGUGGAUGAUGUGGAUUAAUUCGAUGCAACGCGAAAAACCUUACCUACCCUUGACAUGGAUGGAAUCCCGGAGAGAUUUGGGAGUGCCCGAAAGGGAACCAUUACACAGGUGCUGCAUGGCUGUCGU
rnacentral:rRNA from 1 species